ensembl:snRNA U6 U6 spliceosomal RNA
CUGGCCCACUUUAGCAACACAUAUACUAAAAUUGGAAUGAUACAGAGAAGAUUAGCAUGGUCCUUGCACAAUGGUCACAUUCAAAUUCUCAAAUAUCUAUUUUA